AACGAACGCUGGCGGCAUGCCUAACACAUGCAAGUCGAACGAGACCUUCGGGUCUAGUGGCGCACGGGUGCGUAACGCGUGGGAACCUGCCCUUAGGUUCGGAAUAACUCCCCGAAAGGGGUGCUAAUACCGGAUAAUGUCUUCGGACCAAAGAUUUAUCGCCUUUGGAUGGGCCCGCGUUGGAUUAGCUAGUUGGUAGGGUAAAAGCCUACCAAGGCGACGAUCCAUAGCUGGUCUGAGAGGAUGAUCAGCCACACUGGGACUGAGACACGGCCCAGACUCCUACGGGAGGCAGCAGGGGGGAAUAUUGGAAAAGGGGCGAAAGCCUGAUCCAGAAAGGCCGGGGGAGUGAGGAAGGCCUUGGGGUUGAAAAGCUUUUUUACCCGGGAUGAUAAUGACAGUCCCGGGAGAAUAAGCCCCGGCUAACCCCGU
rnacentral:rRNA from 1 species